AAUUGAACUCGCUGUGAAGAUGCAGUGUACCCGCGGCAAGACGGAAAGACCCCGUGAACCUUUACUAUAGCUUGACACUGAACAUUGAGCCUUGAUGUGUAGGAUAGGUGGGAGGCUUUGAAGCCUGGACGCCAGUCUGCGUGGAGCCAACCUUGAAAUACCACCCUUUAAUGUUUGAUGUUCUAACGUUGGCCCCUGACCGGGGUUGCGGACAGUGUCUGGUGGGUAGUUUGACUGGGGCGGUCUCCU
rnacentral:rRNA from 1 species